rnacentral:lncRNA from 1 species
CCUCAGCUUAUACUCUCAUACCCUUAUCCCAUACUUGUCCAAAAUAGUCUUCCUCAUAAGCAAUGUUCCCAUAAACUCUAAUCCACAACAGCUCAUAAGAAUGGAAAGAUAGUUCACCAAAUAGCGCAUAUUUACACCAAAAAUCCACACCAGUUAUUAGCCCUUGGAAGAUAAAGUUGGAAUCUCCUAGAUCGGUAGUAUUUCUUGGUCGCUGCAGUUCAACUAACACGUUAAUAAACUAAAUCUUAAACUUAUUGAGUCAAAUAUCAUAAUUUAAGAACUAUCAACCGAUAACAUACCCAUAAAGUGGUGAGUUCUAUAUUAUUAAUGAAGUUCUACCUCAUCAACUUCAAAUGCAAUGCUAAGACUUGAUUUAUAAAAUACCGAAUUAUUGGUAGUUAAAUUACUUCUUUGAUUCGAACGCGAUAUGAGAGAAUACAAGGUACUCUGAUAGAUCCAACCUCCAGAUGGAGGUAGUUAAAUUGCUAUUAAAAAAUAGCACAUGGAUACCUAAUAUGUUAAAAAAUCUAGUUAAAUUUUGAAUAUAGUUUUCCAAUAUUUUCCAAUGAGCUACACAUACAUAUCUAUAUAAAUUUAUGUAUGUAUAUUAUAUUGCGUGCGAAAAAGAGAAACUACCUAAUCCAAACAGCCAAUAGUUGUUCAAAUGUUUGACUCAGUUGGCCUACUCUUUCCCUUUCGUCACACUAUUUUGAACUCAAGCUCCGAUUCAAAACUUGACAAAAACAUAAAAAGGAAAGAAAAAAACCAGUUCGAAUAAUUUUGACCUUUUCCAAUCGCAGUUGAGUGCUAACGGAGACUCCGAAAAUGGCGAAUUCGAGAAGAAGCAACCAUGUCGUUCAUCCAGUCGAUAUGGAAGCUCCUCCUCAUCCUCCUGCGGAAAUCAAGCAAUUUAAGAAAUGGAUGUGUUGGUUAAUAC